UGCAUUCUUCAACUCCUUCAAUCGCAUAAUUUACAAUAGUUCAGCUUUCUCCAAAACAAGAAUAAACAAGCCACGUUUUUCCAAAAUGAAAACAGGUGUUCUUUAAUCACUAAGGAAAUAAGUAAAAAUUUACAAGCAGUUUUGUAGAAGUAAGAUUAGUAGCCCUACCUGCUGCACUCUACAUCUCUAGUUACCUGAUUUAAACGAAGACUUUAGUUCAUACCGCAAACAGACUAAUGUAUCUAAAACAUCAUCAUCAAAAGAUUCAACAUCCUCUAUUCUUGCGAUAGACAUCAAGGUCUUCAGCCAUUCUUCGUGAAGAGAUGAAAACUCUGAUCUCUGUUCACUUGACCUAAAGUUUUUGCCAAUUGAUAUUUUCAUCUGCUGGCUUGCCUUUGAAGCAACGUUCACAGUUUUUUCUGGGAUUCCAGCCAUAAGUGCAACCUGCAAUCCGUAGCUCUCUGGACAUGCCCCGGGGGCAAGCCGGUAUAGGAAAACUAGUUCCUGAUCUUGUUUGGAAAGGGUAUCAGAUUUUGACUUGAAAGCACAAGCCAUGUGUUGCAUUGUAACGCGUGGAUGAGAUGCAAAUUCUUUUGUUAGCGGAUGGUAAUGCGUUGCAAAUAGCAAUCGACAGUUAACCUUUUCAAUCAGAUGCCGGAAUACCUCAUAUGCAAUGGCGUAGCCAUCAAAAGUGCUUGUUCCCCGACCCAAUUCAUCAAGGAUAACAAGAGAAUCUUGAGUAGCAUUAUGAAGCACUGAUGCAGUUUCUGUACACUCAAUAAAGA
rnacentral:lncRNA from 1 species